UCAGCUCGUGUCGUGAGAUGUUGGGUUAAGUCCCGUAACGAGCGCAACCCUUGUCCUUAGUUACCAGCACGUAAUGGUGGGCACUCUAAGGAGACUGCCGGUGACAAACCGGAGGAAGGUGGGGAUGACGUCAAAUCAUCAUGCCCCUUAUGACCAGGGCUACACACGUGCUACAAUGGUUGGUACAGAGGGUAGCUACACAGCGAUGU
rnacentral:rRNA from 1 species